rnacentral:rRNA from 1 species
UACGAAGGGGGUUAGCGUUGCUCGGAAUCACUGGGCGUAAAGCGCACGUAGGCGGACUCUUAAGUCGGUGGUGAAAUCCUGGAGCUCAACUCCAGAACUGCCUUCGAUACUGAGAGUCUCGAGUCCGGGAGAGGUGAGUGGAACUGCGAGUGUAGAGGUGAAAUUCGUAGAUAUUCGCAAGAACACCAGUGGCGAAGGCGGCUCACUGGCCCGGUACUGACGCUGAGGUGCGAAAGCGUGGGGAGCAAACAGG